GAUGAACGCUGGCGGCGUGCUUAACACAUGCAAGUCGAACGAAGCACUCUAUUUGAUUUUCUUCGGAGAUGAAGAUUUUGUGACUGAGUGGCGGACGGGUGAGUAACGCGUGGGUAACCUGCCUCAUACAGGGGGAUAACAGUUGGAAACGACUGCUAAUACCGCAUAAGCGCACAGGAUCGCAUGGUCCGGUGUGAAAAACUCCGGUGGUAUGAGAUGGACCCGCGUCUGAUUAGCCAGUUGGCAGGGUAACGGCCUACCAAAGCGACGAUCAGUAGCCGACCUGAGAGGGUGACCGGCCACAUUGGGACUGAGACACGGCCCAAACUCCUACGGGAGGCAGCAGUGGGGAAUAUUGCACAAUGGGGGAAACCCUGAUGCAGCGACGCCGCGUGAGCGAAGAAGUAUUUCGGUAUGUAAAGCUCUAUCAGCAGGGAAGAAGAAUGA
rnacentral:rRNA from 1 species